GGGGAAUUUUGGACAAUGGGCGAAAGCCUGAUCCAGCAAUGCCGCGUGCAGGAUGAAGGCCUUCGGGUUGUAAACUGCUUUUGUACGGAACGAAAAGCUUCGGGUUAAUACCCUGGAGUCAUGACGGUACCGUAAGAAUAAGCACCGGCUAACUACGUGCCAGCAGCCGCGGUAAUACGUAGGGUGCAAGCGUUAAUCGGAAUUACUGGGCGUAAAGCGUGCGCAGGCGGUCUUGUAAGACAGAGGUGAAAUCCCCGGGCUCAACCUGGGAACUGCCUUUGUGACUGCAAGGCUGGAGUGCGGCAGAGGGGGAUGGAAUUCCGCGUGUAGCAGUGAAAUGCGUAGAUAUGCGGAGGAACACCGAUGGCGAAGGCAAUCCCCUGGGCCUGCACUGACGCUCAUGCACGAAAGCGUGGGGAGCAAAC
rnacentral:rRNA from 1 species